CUGAAAUGAAUAUGUCUACAUCUAAGAGACUCUCCAUGAAGUAUUGGUCUUCAUUUCAUUUACUAGACACAACUUCUUCCAUGCAUCAAAAUCUCUUCCUCAUACCUAAGCUCGUUCUUCUUACAAGACCAUUUCUGCAAGAAAUGCUAAAUAUAAACCAGCAUGAGUUCGAUAAGAAGCAAUAGAUAGGGUACUAACUUCUGCCUGUGUUCUUUCUACUUUCUCCAAUAUUACCCCCUUUCGCACGAGAACAAAUAAAAGACGGGUUUGUCUUGGCAAGAAGCCAGUUAUAGGAUGUUCUUCAGUAGUUUUUGGAGGUUCUCAAAGUUGUCUGCUGAUAUCUUAUUUAGAUUUAUGCUUCCCAAGUGGAUACUUAAGAUCAGCCAGUUGUGUUUCUGAAUACUUGUCUGGCUCCAAAGUUCUUCAAAGUUGUAUUGCCUCUGUAAACAAGAUAGGAAAUUCAAUAGAAAGGACAACUUGAUCAUUGGUUUCCAUUACCGUUUCAAUGUUUGAGUUUGUUGAAGGAGACGAGAAGGCCUUACCUCAUGUCAAAGUCAUAUGCUGCAAUAGUUGGAGGCACUGCAGGAGUGGUACUUGUUGCAGUAUUCAUCCUGUUGUGGUUAUGCAAAUCUCAUUUUAAGAACUUUUCAAACAAGAACUCAGAGACUGGUUCUUCAGAUCCAUAUCCAACUGCAUUAGGAGAGUGGAAUAGGAGAAGCAGAUCCAGUUCAGCCCCUAGCCACCCUCUAUUUGGAUCACAAGGAGCUAGGCAAUUCACAAUGGAUGAAUUGGAGCAAGCUACCAAGCAAUUUAAUGAAAGUAGUCUCAUUGGAUAUGGAAGUUUUGGGUCGGUAUACAAAGGUUUGCUUCAUGAUACUAUCGUGGCCAUCAAAAGGCGUCCGGGUGCUUCUCGAGAGGAUUUUGUCACAGAGGUACAAGUAACUUUCAAGAGUAGAUAUAUUUACGUGAUAUCUAUCUUCUAUGGUAUGCACAUUACAAUUAUAAUUCCUCUUAGACAACAAUGCACAAAGUGCAUAAAAUUCCUUGUUGAUAUUCUGUUAAACGUAUGAAGACAUCAUUGUAAGCCAAAGAGAAGAUAAUCUGGAGUUGGAGUUAGUUCCUUCUGCUUAGCAUAUCAUACGUGUUUCUAAAAGCUUUAAGCUCCCAUGAUUUGAAUAGAUAUUAACAAUAUCAAGUGGCAAACAGGUACUUUAUUUGUCAGAAAUUCGGCAUCGUAAUUUAGUUUCUCUUCUA
rnacentral:misc_RNA from 1 species